UACAGAGGGGGCAAGCGUUGUUCGGAAUUACUGGGCGUAAAGGGCUCGUAGGCGGCCAACUAAGUCAGACGUGAAAUCCCCAGGCUUAACCUGGGAACUGCGUCUGAUACUGGAUGGCUUGAAUCCGGGAGAGGGAUGCAGAAUUCCAGGUGUAGCGGUGAAAUGCGUAGAUAUCUGGAGGAAUACCGGUGGCGAAGGCGGCAUCCUGGACCGGCAUUGACGCUGAGGAGCGAAAGCCAGGGGAGCAAACAGG
rnacentral:rRNA from 1 species